AGCUAACAUAGCCCUUUUAGAUAUUUUUCUAGCAGGUUUUCUGACUUUGGAAAACCCAG
ensembl:snRNA U7 U7 small nuclear RNA